CGCCAUUUUGCGCUCGUACCCAGAAUUCCCGAAUUCAAAAUGGCGGAUUUCUAAACAUGUUAUUGGGGAAACACCGUUCAACUUCUAUAGAAGUGGAUUUUAGCUUCCCUUAAGCCAGCAUAAUUCAAAAUGGGAGUUUCAGAAACAUCGAUUGAUCCUUUAAAAAAAAUAUAAGGUUUAACAAAUGGGUAGAAAAUUCAAAAAAAUAAAGGGCGAUCAAUCUGAAUGGCUGGAAUCGGAUAGACAUCAGGUAUGCAAAAAUCUUGUAGUUAGAUAACAGACAUAGAAACAUCUCAUCUCUGAUGCCCAACGGUACUACUAUCUGGUCAUCAACGCUAGAAACUACAAACCCCAAUCAUUAUAAAUGGAAUAUGCAGAAGGGAAAUUAAAGGACAUAUAUGAUGCCAAACAAAGGUUUGCUGCUGAUCAGAAAUAACUAGAUGGCCCUGUAUUCAGAAUACAUGUACAGUUUUUAAAAUUACCCGGCAUAUCCACAAUAUGUAAUCUAGUGGAUAUGAAUUUAUUGACCAGCAACAACAUUAAAAUCAAUUUAUUACUAAAAACAAUGAACAAGAUGAUGUGCAAUUCUUUAAGAUAAAAUAAUAUAUCUGUAAUGAAAUUUAAUCUAAUUUAUAUGACCUGGUUGUUAAGACACUAAUCUCUAAUUGUUUUAAGUUUAAUUAGUUACCCAAUAAAAGAUCAUUAAAAUGUU